AAACCAACAGGGAUUGCCUUAGUAGCGGCGAGCGAAGCGGCAAGAGCUCAGCUUUGGAAUCGCUUCGGCGAGUUGUAGAGUGAAGCCAGUAGCUGGAAACCACACACGUUCAAGUUUCUUGGAACAGAACACCAUAGAGGGUGAGAGUCCCGUUGGAUGUGAUGUCGGUGCCCAUGUAGUUACUGUGCAGCGAGUCGAGUUGUUUGGGAAUGCAGCUCUAAGUGGGUGGUAAACACCAUCUAAGGCUAAAUACCGGCGAGAGACCGAUAGCGAACAAGUACAGUGAUGGAAAGAUGAAAAGCACUUUGAAAAGAGAGUGAAACAGCACGUGAAAUUGUUGAAAGGGAAGGGCUUGCAAUUAGACCCAUUUAUGGGACCAGCAUCGGGUGGGUGGAGUGUAAAAAACCAUUGGAACGUGGCUCGCUUCGGUGAGUGUUAUAGCCUUUAGUAAUCCACUUUGCUCGCCCGAGGACCGCGGAAACAAGGAUGCUGGGGUAAUGAUUGCCAGCCGCCCGUCUUGAAACACGGACC
rnacentral:rRNA from 18 species